AUGACGAGUUGAACCCACGCCGACGCGGUGGCGAGAGCCUGCCCAGCAGUGGCGGGCGCUGA
rnacentral:snoRNA from 1 species